GGGGGUCUUGGGUGUAGAGAAGCGCUAACACUUAGAAGAAAAGCAUAACACAUUUUCUGCGUGGAAUCUGCUGGACCUAUCUCCCUGCCUCCUUCGGGGCCUGACUGGGACAAGUGGGGAAGACCCACCUGGGGCAGCGUGGGCUGUCCUUAGGUCACGUUGCUAUUUGUCAGCAGUGGCCGGCAGGGGCCACGUUUGCAGACACCAGGCCUCACAGUGACAUGGUUUCUUGAUGCUGGAAUCCCUUUGGGGCCACUGUAGAACUUUCUGGGGCUCAGCCUGAUGGGUAUCCACAUGCCCCUGAUAUUUCGGAUGCCCUCACCCGGGGGAUUCCUGCACUCCUGAAGCUUUAAGCUUUCAUCUCAGGAGCUGGCGCUGCUCUGCUGUUCCUCUGUCUCCCAGACUCUGGGUGGAUGGAGCAGGUCGGGGGCCAGGGGACAGGAAGGCUAGGGCCCCAGAGACCUGUCCUGGGCCCCAUGUCCAGCUCUGCCCUUAGUGCUUGGCACCCCAGUCGCUUCUGCUGGAAGCUGGCU
rnacentral:lncRNA from 1 species